AUGGAGGAGGCAAUUAAGCAGCUUCGUGAGGUCGCCGACUCCUUGCAAGGCUGGAUGGUGCGUAUUGGGAGCUUUCUAGAGCGCGCGGAGGCUACUCUGCAAAGGCUCCCUGUUGCACAGGCUCCCGUGGUUGAGUCUUCUGUUGGCUUCAUGGAUGAGGCGGAUACGGAGCUCUUUGGUAGCUUCUCGCCCCGUGUUGGGUCUAGUUCGACGCCCCUUGUGUUGCCGGACUCCGUGGGUGAGGCAUCCGCCGAGGUUGUGUCUCCGGUGUUGCAGAUUAUGCCCGAGUUGCAGGUGUUGUGUGGGGAACAUGUUUCGUCUGUGUCGAUGGAGCAGCUCAAGUUGGGCUCUCUCCAGGCUUCGAAGGUGGACCAUGUGUCCUCACCACCCCCCGUGGAGCCUUGUCAGGCUUCGGAGGUGAACUUGGUGCCCUCACCACCACCCGUGGAGCCUUGUCAGGGGUCAGAAAACCUAUCUCUCAGCGUGGAGCAUGGAGUUUUAGAUGUUGCUGCCCUUCCCUCGUCUGCGACCGUCGGGCAGGUGAUGCUGUGA
rnacentral:rRNA from 1 species